UGAGCUGUCCGCACGGAAUCUAAAAGAAAAAAAAAAAAUGAAGGACGUGAGGCUCAGACGUGUCUCAAAUGAAGUUUACUAUAUGCGAGAAGACAGACCACGAGCUCACCUUCUGCCGGGUCCUAAUCAAAGCUUGUGACAGCUGUUUGAAAGUCAUCUGUUACCACCAUGGUCGCCAGUUACGAGAUGAAAGCCAGUGUCUGUCAGGACUGUUGUAGGAGGUGGACCACCAACUAGAACAGCUAUCUUUUAUUAAUAACUAUGCAGGAUUGCAAGACCGCCCAGCCCUUACGUGGCACUCGGGAGGUGGUACACAACUUCACAAAUUCGUUGAACAGGAAGGCAAGUGACAUGCUGCCUGACAGAGUGACUUCUAUUUCUGAAAGAUGAAGUUUUAAAAAUUGAAUUAAUAAAUGAAAUGAAAUAAAUUUGUAGGAAGGGUUUUUAAAUGUCCUCAAUUGCUUUAUUAUUCCUAAAAUUACUUUUACAAAUGCUAAAUUUC